AUUGAACGCUGGCGGCAGGCUUAACACAUGCAAGUCGAGCGAGCGGCGGACGGGUGAGUAAUGUCUGGGAAACUGCCUGAUGGAGGGGGAUAAAUACUGGAAACGGUAGCUAAUAACGCAUACCAUCGGAUGUGCCCACAUGGGCUUAGCGAGUAGGUGGGGUAACGGGUCAGCAAGGGGACGAUCCCUAGCUGGUCUGAGAGGAUGACCAGCAACACUGGAACUGAGACACGGUCCAGACUCCUACGGGAGGCAGCAGUGGGGAAUAUUGCACAAUGGGCGCAAGCCUGAUGCAGCCACGCCGCGUGUGUGAAGAAGGCCUUCGGGUUGUAAAGCACUUUCAGCGAGGAGGCGUUACUCGCAGAAGAAGCACCGGCUAACUCCGUGCCAGCAGCCGCGGUAAUUC
rnacentral:rRNA from 1 species